rnacentral:rRNA from 1 species
GAUGAACGCUGGCGGCGUGCCUAAUACAUGCAAGUCGAGCGAACAGACGAGGAGCUUGCUCCUCUGACGUUAGCGGCAGACGGGUGAGUAACACGUGGAUAACCUACCUAUAAGACUGGGAUAACUUCGGGAAACCGGAGCUAAUACCGGAUAAUGUAUUGAACCGCAUGGUUCAAUAGUGAAAGACGGUUUUGCUGUCACUUAUAGAUGGAUCCGCGCCGCAUUAGCUAGUUGGUAAGGUAACGGCUUACCAAGGCAACGAUGCGUAGCCGACCUGAGAGGGUGAUCGGCCACACUGGAACUGAGACACGGUCCAGACUCCUACGGGAGGCAGCAGUAGGGAAUCUUCCGCAAUGGGCGAAAGCCUGACGGAGCAACGCCGCGUGAGUGAUGAAGGUCUUCGGAUCGUAAAACUCUGUUAUUAGGGAAGAACAAAUGUGUAAGUAACUAUGCACGUCUUGACGGUACCUAAUCAGAAAGCCACGGCUAACUACGUG